rnacentral:rRNA from 1 species
GGGCCCGCACAAGCGGUGGAGCAUGUGGUUUAAUUCGAAGAUACGCGAAAAACCUUACCAGGUCUUGACAUCCCUUGCAAUGCUGUAGAGAUACAGUGGAGGUUAUCAAGGAGACAGGUGGUGCAUGGUUGUCGUCAGCUCGUGUCGUGAGAUGUUGGGUUAAGUCCCGCAACGAGCGCAACCCUUAUUGCUAGUUGCCAUCAUUUAGUUGGGGACUCUAGCGAGACUGCCAGUGAUAAACUGGAGGAAGGUGGGGAUGACGUCAAAUCAUCAUGCCCCUUAUGACCUGGGCUACAAACGUGAUACAAUGGCUAUUACAGAGGGCCGCAAAGCUGUGAAGUGAAGCUAAACCCUUAAAAUAGUCUCAGUUCGGAUUGAAGUCUGCAACUCGACUUCAUGAAGCCGGAAUCGCUAGUAAUCG